AAUAGAUACCCGGGUAGUCCUGGCAGUAAACGGUGCGCGUUUGGUGUGGGAGGAAUCGACCCCUUCCGUGCCGGAGCUAACGCGUUAAACGCGCCGCCUGGGGAGUACGGUCGCAAGAUUAAAACUCAAAGAAAUUGACGGGGGCCCGCACAAGCGGUGGAGUAUGUGGCUUAAUUCGAUGCAACGCGAAGAACCUUACCUGGGCUUGACAUGCAUCUCUAAGUCGGUGAAAGCCGGCGAGUGCCGCAAGGUACAAUUUGCACAGGUGCUGCAUGGCUGUCGUCAGCUCGUAUCGUGAGAUGUUGGGUUAAGUCCCGCAACGAGCGCAACCCCUGUGAUCUGUUGCUAACCGGCUUGUCCGGAGCACUCUGGUCAGACUGCCCUGUGAAACGGGGAGGAAGGUGGGGAUGACGUCAAGUCAGCAUGGCCCUUACGCCCAGGGCUGCACACGUACUACAAUGCUCAGUACAGAACGAGCCGAAACCGCGAGGUGGAGGAAAUCCCUAAAACUGAGCCCAAUUCGGAUCGCAGG
rnacentral:rRNA from 1 species